rnacentral:rRNA from 1 species
UACGUAGGGUGCGAGCGUUAAUCGGAAUUACUGGGCGUAAAGCGUGCGCAGGCGGUUUGUUAAGACAGAUGUGAAAUCCCCGGGCUUAACCUGGGAACUGCAUUUGUGACUGGCAAGCUAGAGUAUGGCAGAGGGGGGUAGAAUUCCACGUGUAGCAGUGAAAUGCGUAGAGAUGUGGAGGAAUACCGAUGGCGAAGGCGGCGACCUGGCCCUUACUGACGCUGAGGCGCGAAAGCGUGGGGAGCAAACAGG